GAUGAACGCUGGCGGCGUGCCUAAUACAUGCAAGUCGAGCGAACUGAUUAGAAGCUUGCUUCUAUGACGUUAGCGGCGGACGGGUGAGUAACACGUGGGCAACCUGCCUGUAAGACUGGUAUAACUUCGGGAAACCGAAGCUAAUACAGGAUAGGAUCUUCUCCUUCAUGGGUGAUGAUUAAAAGAUGGUUUCGGCUAUCACUUCCAUAUGGACCCGCGGUGCAUUAGCUAGUGGGUGAGGUAACGGCACACCAAGGCAACGACGCAUAGCCGACCUGAGAGGGUGAUCGGCCACACUGGGACUGAGACACGGCCCAGACUCCUACGGGAGGCAGCAGUAGGGAAUCUUCCGCAAUGGACGAAAGUCUGACGGAGCAACGCCGCGUGAGUGAUGAAGGCUUUCGGGUCGUAAAACUCUGUUGUUAGGGAAGAACAAGUACGAGAGUAACUGCUCGUACCUUGACGGUACCUAACCAGAAAGCCACGGCUAACUACGUGCCAGCCGCCGCAGUAACAC
rnacentral:rRNA from 1 species